GCAAGGCACCAGGGGUGCUUGCCCUGUCUCUCUCUUUCAAGUAAGCCAUGGCCAUGGCUGAGAGGUUAUGACAGGAGCAGGCUGAGAGAGUCCCUUUGAACCUGAACAGGAUAACACCUGCGUAGGGAGUGUGCCGCUCAUCCUUU
rnacentral:ncRNA from 1 species